GCAGGCGCCGUCCCUGCGAGCGCUGGGCCAGCUCAUGGGAGCCCUUCUCUGGGCAGAGCUGGCCCCCAUCCGCUUCGAGGACAUGGUGCAGGUCCUGCGGCGCUGGCUCACCUCGGCCCACGCAUGCGAGCGGGAGAGGGCCCUGCAGGUGUGCGUGCAGGUGCUGGGCUCUUAUGAAGAGAGAUGCGAGCACAGGCGAGGCCGUGCCUGCGAGUGGUUCGGCUCCCUGGC